GACGAACGCUGGCGGCGUGCUUAACACAUGCAAGUCGAACGGAAAGGCCCUGCUUGCAGGGUACUCGAGUGGCGAACGGGUGAGUAACACGUGGGUGAUCUGCCCUGCACUUCGGGAUAAGCCUGGGAAGCUGGGUCUAAUACCGGAUAGGAGCCAUUUUUAGUGUGAUGGUUGGAAAGUUUUUUCGGUGUAGGAUGAGCUCGCGGCCUAUCAGCUUGUUGGUGGGGUAAUGGCCUACCAAGGCGGCGACGGGUAGCCGGCCUGAGAGGGUGGACGGCCACAUUGGGACUGAGAUACGGCCCAGACUCCUACGGGAGGCAGCAGUGGGGAAUAUUGCACAAUGGGCGCAAGCCUGAUGCAGCGACGCCGCGUGGGGGAUGACGGCCUUCGGGUUGUAAACUCCUUUCGCUAGGGACGAAGCUUUUUGUGACGGUACCUAGAUAAGAAGCACCGGCUAACUACGUG
rnacentral:rRNA from 1 species